rnacentral:sRNA from 2 species
AAGCUGUUCCGUUAGGUGAGGCUCCUAUAUGAACAUAAGCUGCUACUCAGAAACAUCGAGAGAUGCCAAUUGAGUGAACUGAAAUUGCCUACAAAGGCUUUUUCUAACGUAGCUGAAUUUCAUUCUACGUCAUAUAGUGCUAAAACUAAACGAUUGGAACGCGCA